rnacentral:rRNA from 1 species
CAGUAGCCGCGGGAAUACAGAGGGUGCGAGCGUUAAUCGGAUUUACUGGGCGUAAAGCGUGCGUAGGCGGCUUCUUAAGUCGGAUGUGAAAUCCCUGAGCUUAACUUAGGAAUUGCAUUCGAUACUGGGAAGCUAGAGUAUGGGAGAGGAUGGUAGAAUUCCAGGUGUAGCGGUGAAAUGCGUAGAGAUCUGGAGGAAUACCGAUGGCGAAGGCAGCCAUCUGGCCUAAUACUGACGCUGAGGAGCGAAAGUGUGGGGAGCGAACAGGAUUAGAUACCCGUGUAGUCCCUGUCUAUUAUAC